AUGAAUUUUGGAACAUUUGCAUGAACCCUAAAGUAUAGAUUCAAAAUCCCUUGGAUCUAGAGUCCUGCCCACUCUGCAGCAAAACUUCUCAAGUAGUUCAUUUGUUUCCAAUAACCAGAUAAAGUAAGGACAUAUGAUUACAUACACGUACAGACACUCCCUUCCUGGUACUCCCCCUCCAUACACAGGCCAUGCCCUCAGGGCCACACCCACAUCAGGUCUUCAGAGUCUGAUACAGACUUGAAAUGAUAUCUUAAACCUCUCGUUCCCUCAUUAUGCAUUUGUUUCAUUUUAAGAUAUGCCCUUUAAUGUAUCUCCUCCCUCCCUGCUUCCUUCUCUCUCUUCCUCCCUUCUGUUCUUCCUUCUCUUGUUGUUGUUGCUGCUGCUGCUGCUGCUGCUGCUGCUGACGACAACAAGGAGGAGGUUACAGGCCAGAGACUCAAUGAGAGAAGAGGUUGAACAAGCUUCUUUGACUGUGCUGUUGUGUGCUAGUGAUCAUCUAAAUCCUGAGCAACAAGGAUGCAGGAAUUAGAUGAAUAGACUGAUGAAGUGUUGGGAACAAGCAAAAAGUAAAACAAACAAACAACAACAACAACAAAACUUGUUCUUGCCAUUUCAUCAUAGGGGGAAACCAAGUUCAAGGUCCCAGGCUCCAGGGGAGCUGCAGAGCUUCUGUUGUAAGGAGACAGUUAUCUGAGUCCAGCCAACAUGGACUCCAUCUUGCUGGCCAGAUUAUACUAAAUUCAUGUUCUCCGGCUCAGAAACCAACUCCCUUUCUGAUUGGUGGAAAAACAUAACAACUUGGCACAGAUGUGUAUGAUUUCCGAGCUUAAAGAUUCUGUGAUAUUCAGGUUCAUUGUUCACCUCCCGAGUCUGUUCUGCAGUCCUGAUCCAUCAGGAGGAUUGUUGUCUGCAGUGACCUGGUGUUUCAGUUAUGUUGGAUUCAAGCAGACACCAUAACAAAAUUAUGACCUAAAAUGUAAACUAUCAUCAAAACUUAUUUAACCUCUUGCCUAUCACUCACUUUUAGGCUGUAGAAGUUUGAUGGUUUUAGUAACUGUGUUAGAUAUAUGACUGCCAUUUAAAAGCAUUGCCAUUUUUGAAGAGCCCCUACUUUAAAAGCUGGCUUGAUAAAAUACAUGUAAAAGUCUCCUUUUCUAAAGAUUGCCGAAGACAUUUUGAACAUCAUUAAGUGAACUACUACUGAAACUUUGCAACAGAAUGUCUUCUCAAGCUACAACCUUGAGAAGAUUGUGGGAUCUUAUUAUAAAGAAGCAAGUCCUGGGUUCAGUCUUGGAAUGAAGUCAGCACCAGCAGAAGGUUACUCACUGCCUCAAUAGAUGCAUUUUAAAGUCAGUUCACAUAGCCCAGCGCCUUAGAGUCAGAAGCCGUGCUUCUGACACAAAGACUUCCAAACUCUUUGUAUAAAGCACGUUCACGUUUUCUUUCAUAUAUUCCAAGCUUAUUCAUUUUAUAGUAAUAAGCUUGGGGAUUUAGUGUCUCACUGAAAAUAGGCCUGUUUGGCACAAGGUUACUCCUAAGAAGAAAAGUCUUAAAAUGAACUGAUUAAAGAAAUAUUUGCAAGAUUAAAGGGAUCUUCCUGGACUCAGUUGCUUAAUUAUGAACAAAAUAGGUCUCGGAGUGAUCACUGUGAAGUUUCCUCGUAAACAGGUCGCACUUUAACAGCACUUUAGUUUUCUACUGGUUCAUUAUCUAUUUAGUUUACUACUGGUUCAUUAUCUAUAAGCUUCUGAAACUGUCAACUCUGUUUUUAAGAAAAUCAAUGGCUCCUAUCUCAUGUUCAUCAACAGGGAAGUAAAGAGUGCUGGGUUUUCAACGUUAUAUUUGUAAUAAUUAUCAUUUUACUGUCAAUUUCACUUGAAUUGACUUUGGGGGGCUAUAGUAUUUUGUGUAAAUGUACACAGAGAGAAACAAGAAUUUUGGCUUGCAUUAUGUCAAGGAGAAUAAAUAGAUUUUACUCC
rnacentral:lncRNA from 1 species